rnacentral:rRNA from 1 species
GAUGAACGCUAGCGGCAGGCUUAAUACAUGCAAGUCGAGGGGCAGCGCAGUGUAGCAAUACAUGGGCGGCGACCGGCAAACGGGUGCGGAACACGUACAGAACCUUCCUUCGAGCGGGGAAUAGCCCAGAGAAAUUUGGAUUAAUACCCCAUAGUAUAUUAGAGUGGCAUCACUUUAAUAUUAAAGAUUUAUCACUUGAAGAUGGCUGUGCGGCUGAUUAGGAGUUGGCGGGGUAACAGCCCACCAAGCCAGCGAUCAGUAACUGGUGUGAGAGCACGACCAGUCACACGGGCACUGAGACACGGGCCCGACUCCUACGGGAGGCAGCAGUAAGGAAUAUUGGUCAAUGGACGCAAGUCUGAACCAGCCAUGCCGCGUGGAGGAUGAAGGUCCUCUGGAUUGUAAACUUCUUUUAUAUGGGACGAAAAAGGCUUUUCUAAGUCGUCUGACGGUACCAUAUGAAUAAGCACCGGCUAACUCCGUGCCAGCA